UGAUGCUGUGUUGAGGAAAGAGCUUCAGACUCGCUUGUCCAGCAUUGAAAAUACUGCGAUGGAUGGCAUGCAAAUACUUAUGAAUCGUAUUUCUGCUUCUUGCAAGACAUUUGGACUCUGCAUUAGCUUGGACAAGACUGUUGUAAUGUUCUAGCCUGCACCAGAGAAUCCAUAUGUGGAACCAGCUAUCUUGGUUGAAGGAACAAUUCUGAAAGUGGUAGACAAGUUUGUCUACCUGGGGAGCAUACUGAACCGUUCUUGAUCCCUCGAUGAUGAAAUCUCUGUCAGGCUGCAGAGAGCAACUGAUUCCUUCCGGUCUCUUCAGUCACGUAUCUGGUCCCAGCAUGGUAUCGCAAGGCAAACAAAAAUUGCUGUGUACCGUACAUAUGUACUGACAGUGCUCCUUUACUCAUGUGAGACAUGGACCCUUUACAAAUGUCAUGUAAGAGUCCUUGAACGCUUUCAUCAGAGAUGUCUCAGACACAUUCUGAAUGUUGGCUGGACCUUAAAAACCCUAGACACACAGGUCCUGAGGACAGCUGAUGUCUUGAGUAUUGAGGCAAUAGUGCACAAGCACCAGUUACGUUGGACUGGAUACCUUAUUAGAAUGAAGGAUAGCAGGAUCCGUAAGCAGAUGCUAUUUGGGGAACUUGUGAAUGGAAAGAGACCUCGGCAGAAACCAGAGCUGCGAUUUAAGGACCGUGUCAAGACAUCAUUAAAGGCCUGUGAUAUGCAGGAGACUGACUGGGAGAACAAUGCUUGUCAUCGCCACAGGUGAAGAAAGCAGGUUAAGGAGGAGGUCGACACUUUUGAGAGAGCAUGUAUUCAGCAUGAAGAACUUAUGCGUGCUGCUCGAAAGCGCACUGCUGAUGUAGUGAAUGGGGAAAGCUUGGUCUGCAAUGUUUGCAGUCGUGUAUGCUUGUCAAGAGAAGGGCUCAUUAGCCACCAACGGAGCCGCAAAUGCAAAAUAUAAGUUGGUCCUAGAGCGCACAAUGUUCUUGAAGGUCAGCAAUGGUCUUCCUCAGUCACGCGUGGACGGCCAUCAUGGAUUACCCGCAAUUUCAGAAAUGUUACUUGGCAAAUAGAUAUUUAUCCAGAUCUUGCAUAAUAAAUUUAAGAAAUGGUUAUUAUAAGAAGUGUUUGAAUUACCAUGGUCACACAGUUGGAGUUAGGAGCCAGUCACUAUUCGCAACUGCUGCUAUAACUCUAUUACUUACACAUAUAUAAGUAUAUAUGAUGCCACUACAACGAUGUAUGUGUAUUAUUUUAAAGACGUCAUUCAAUGAGAUGAGUCGUAGGGGUGAAAACCCAAUAUUGCAAGAGACCAGCUUUACUACAGGUGUCUACAAUUUUCUACGUAACACUGAGGAUAUCUUUUAAUGUUCUACACAGUAUUCUGUAACUUUAGAUUAAAAUAACUUUGUGUGAUUUCA